rnacentral:rRNA from 1 species
UACGAAGGUGGCUAGCGUUGUUCGGAAUUACUGGGCGUAAAGCGCGUGUAGGCGGGCCGUUAAGUCGGGGGUGAAAGCCCAGAGCUCAACUCUGGAAUUGCCUUCGAUACUGGCGGCCUGGAGCAUGAUAGAGGCGAGUGGAAUUGCGAGUGUAGAGGUGAAAUUCGUAGAUAUUCGCAGGAACACAAGUGGCGAAGGCGACUCGCUGGAUCAUUGCUGACGCUGAGACGCGAAAGCGUGGGGAGCAAACAGG